rnacentral:lncRNA from 1 species
UGGAUACUGAUACAAGGGGCCACGACCAGAAUAUAAAGGAGAAGCCUUGUACAUGCACAAGGUCUCGAAAAUACAAGGGAAAUAAAGACAAAGGCUCCCUUGGAAACACAACAAAGACUAGAGUUUUUCGAAAACUAAAUAACAUAAAAGCAUAGCUUAAAAUAUAAGAUAAGGUCUUCAUGUGGACAGACCAAGAUCAAUCAUCUAGGAGAUAGGAGAAGUAGACUUGUGGCCUCGUUAAAAACCUUCCUUUGGAAAACCCAGUGGGACAAAACCAAAGGUUAGGAAAAGAGCACACACAAGCUACUUGCCUAGAUGAUGAUCAGCUUGAAGGUGGAGUAGCUUGAAUGAUGGUUAAGGUGUCUUGGAUGAUCAAGCUUCGGCCAAGACUAAUGUAUUCUUCUUGUUUCCAAAUGUUCUUCAAGGUUGCAUCCUCAGCUACAAGCUCUUCAGGUUCAGGUUCAUGCUUCCAGUCCUUGGUGCUUUCCAUGAUCAUAUCAUCCCCUCCCACUUCAAAAAGAUUUGUCCUCAAAUCUGUGUUACCUGCAAUAGAAGGGACCAAGUCAGUAUCAUCAGAGUUUAUAAUCAGAUUACACUUACCUUGCAAGCCUCUUUGAUAGGCAUUGUCGCUGACUGGUUCUAUUAGGUAGAAGGGACUGAUCCAUUUGGCUUUCCUCACUCCUGAGGCAUUACUUAGACCUGAUACAUUGAAACAAGACAAGUUAACACAAGCAAAAUCAUCAUAGAGUAAGAGUCUUAUCCCAAAGUUGUAUUUUCUCGGUUUUGGCUUGUAUGCUGCAUCUGGAGGUGCUUCUUUGAUGAGGAUGAAGCAAGUGACGUCCUGAUGUCUCUCCUGGCUUAGAUCAGGCGGCUUGAAACGUUUGUCUUCCUCACGCUUGUUCUUUCUUUUUGCAUGCUUCAAAGCUUUCAUAUAAUCUGCACAUGACUCUUUUGGCAAAAACAAGUGCAUCAUAUCGGUGUAAUCAAUAAAAGAACUCUUGAAAACAUGAUUAGUUACCUUACCAUGCUCACCUGGUCGCCAUAGAUAGGAUUGAGAUGUUCUGAACUCAGAAAAGUUCAGACAAAGUAAACACAGAAUCACCCGUCUUGUAGAACCCAUAACUCUUUUAUUUGAGAAGCUUUGGUCAUGAUUCCAGUUCGACGUGAGACCCUGAUGAGUGUAGUUUCCAUUGCAGUUGAGUUUGUUGCUUAAUUCCUUCUGGUUGCUGAGAUAUGAUCCUCGGACUGCUCCUAUGUCAGAGUUGGCGGCUAGACAGCUUCCAAGAUUUGAUUGUUGCAUCUCCAACUUAGCCAAGGAUCCAUUCUUGAUACUCUGAUCAUUACUAUAGCCUCUCCUUUCGAAAAGUAUAGCACUCAAAACUGUUUGACCUACUCUAAUGAGAUCUCCAUCUCCACUCUUGAUUUGACAAUCUCUGAAAUGGUAUUGAAGCUUCUGCAAAUCUGGUGGCUUCCACGCCUUGACAUGAUCAAGAAGCAAGGCAUUUUGAUCAGCUUCCAACUCCUUAUUACCCAAGCUGGUUCUAGCACGAGCAGAGCACUCUCCAAGGAUGAUAAGUGUGCUGUCAUAUGCUCCAGGUUUCCACAAGUAGAUCUGUAACCUUCCAGCCCAAUCUGAUAUAAGCAGCUCACAGAAUUUGGCUAAACCGAUAUGUUUUGCGGAAUUGACAAUAUCUUGAUGAUCAGGUGGCCAUUUGCUGCGUUUUCCGGUUUGUUGGAUCCAGGAAAGAGUGGGUAACAUUCUCCAAUUGGUUUCGUAGUGAAAAUCUUGCUGAGCUGAGACGUGCAUCCCUUUAGCUUCAGAGGGUAAAAGAUCACCAAAAACAAUUGUUGUUGCUGCCGAUUUCUUCUCAAUCACUAUGGGAUUGUUCCUGUGAUUCCACAACUCUCCUCCAGGCUCAAAUACAACAUGUUCCAUGCCCAGUUCGUGUCUUGAAAGCUCUACUGCUCUGGUCUUGUUCCAGACAAAGGGAUUGAACAGAAAAAUACCCAAGAAUGUCUUUUGGAAAUCACACGGGUCAAAGACAAUCAGUUGUCUCUUUUUGCAAGCUGUCUGUGGUUUCCUGGGUGUCUCUUCUGGUACUAUGGCUUGUUUGAAAGGAACCAUGACGUUCUGAACAGGCUGCUCAUCUUUCUGAAUGGCAGCUGAUGAUUCUUUGGCUUGAUCUCCUUGAAUAGAUGUAGCUGAUACCGGCUCUACUCCACUGUCUGAUUUUGAUUCCAUGGGUGCCUCCUCUUCUAUUACAUCCUGUUUGAAGAGAAUCAGGUCGUCCUUGAUGGGUUGAUCAUCCUUCUGAAUGGUGAUUGUUGGAAUCUCGGUUUGAUCUUCUUGAACUAGUGCAGCCAAGUCUGAUUGUGCAACUGAGUCUGGUUCUGCAUCUUUGAGUUCUGAGACAGUUGAGGAAAGCGCUUGGUUCUGUACUUCUAAGGAUGGAGAUAUAGUCUUGGACUGUUUAAGUUGUUUCUCUACAUCCCUAAACGCUUGUGAAAUUGCCUUCCUUAUGCUAUCUUCAAAGGAAUAGGUUGAUGUUUUGCUUGAUGAAACCAGGUUACUAGAUGGACUUGAUCUCUUGCUGUCUGGUUGUUUCUGAACUGAUAAUGAAGAACAUAGCUUUGUCUCAGGCUGCUUUUGAAUAACUUCCUUGUGGAACUGUCUUGGAACGUACUCUCUACGCAUCAAAGCCCUCAGCUUAAGCCAUGUUUCCACUGGUUCUUUUCCAUCAAGUCUUCUGCACUUUAUCAACUGAUUCCACCAUCUUAAAGCAUGACCACAAAACUCAGCAGUAGCCAUUUGAAUCUUCUUUUUUCAGCAUAGUGUUGACUACUGAAAAUCAACUCAAUCUUCUUUUCCCACUUCACAUAAGCUUCAGGAUCAGCCUGGCCAUGAAAAGAAGGAAUUUGAUAUUUCAAUCCAGCAUGCUUCCAGUUUCUGUCCAUCUGAUCAAACUCCUUUUUCUUGUACUCAUCUCUGGAUGAUCUGCCUUUCCUUUGCUGCUGUAUGUCUUGUCUGAAUUUUCUCAAUUGAUCUUUGCAGGCUUUAUCCAUACUGGCUGUGAAUUCUUCAAGAAAAAGCUUUUCUUUCUUGCUGAGUUCUCCUUUUUGAUCUCCUGCCAUGGUACCUGAGACAAGAGAAAGACUAAGCCAGUAAAUAGUUCUACAGAGAAAACAAAAAAACAAUUUGCAAAAUCAGAGAUUCAAAUUGAAGCUUAAAACUUUAGACAAUUCUCAGAACAAAUUCAAACUCAACCAAUGAUUUAAAAGAGAUCAAAACUAAUCAGAACAGAAUUGAAAUCUUAAGCCUAUCAGAUCAGAUUGAUUUCGAAACUAGAACAAAAAAAAUGGAGAGAUAGAUUUCGAUUUCAGAUUCAAGCACAGAUUUUUCAAAACAAAAAUAUCAAAACGAAAUCAAUCAAACUUGCACUACACGGAUUAGGUUUCAAAAUAUCAAUCAACACACGAUCAGAGAUGAUAUGAUAACAGAUGAUGAGAUUUAGAUCAAGCAAGAACAGAUCUAAAACAAUAAGAACAGAUCGACUGCAAUCAACAAACAGAUUCAGAUCAAGCAAUCGGAUAACUUGAUAAACAAGGAUCCGAACAGUCUAAUACCCAAAACAAGAUCUAAUUAACCCAAAUUCGAUAGAUUUCUUCACAAGGAACACAGAUCAACACGAAAUCAAAGAGUAUAUGAAGAGACUUCACCAGAUUCGUGAUCAAAAACACUUAGAUCUAACAGAUUUCAACAAUAGAAACACAAAUCGAUCAAAAUCUCAACAGAAUAUGAAGAGAUCAAAUCGAAAAUCAGAGAGAAAAAUCAAACACUUCCCUUCCAGAGUUGCUCUGAUACCACUUGAUGAGAUCCUAGGAUGAUGCUCUGGAACAGAUGGGAUAAUCCUUGCAGAAACGAAUCAAAAGACUCAAGCUUCUCAAGGUAUGUGGAUCGAAUGGUGACACAAGAGGCUGCGGAAAGGCUCCUUGAUACUCCUAGGCAAUAGAUCGGAUAUGACACACCAAACUAGAGCCCUUAGUCUCUGGAUAUUACACACCAGAAGUUGGAUAUUACACACCAACACUCAAUCAACUCGACAAGCAAGAAGAAAAGAGAAAACAAAGGUUUUUGAUAAAAAGAUGGAUACUGAUACAAGGGGCCACGACCAGAAUAUAAAGGAGAAGCCUUGUACAUGCACAAGGUCUCGAAAAUACAAGGGAAAUAAAGACAAAGGCUCCCUUGGAAACACAACAAAGACUAGAGUUUUUCGAAAACUAAAUAACAUAAAAGCAUAGCUUAAAAUAUAAGAUAAGGUCUUCAUGUGGACAGACCAAGAUCAAUCAUCUAGGAGAUAGGAGAAGUAGACUUGUGGCCUCGUUAAAAACCUUCCUUUGGAAAACCCAGUGGGACAA